rnacentral:misc_RNA from 1 species
GAUGAAGAACGCAGCGAAAUGCGAUAAGUAGUGUGAAUUGCAGAAUUCAGUGAAUCAUCGAAUCUUUGAACGCACAUUGCGCCCUUUGGUAUUCCUUAGGGCAUGCCUGUUCGAGCGUCAUUUAAACCUUCAAGCUAAGCUUGGUGUUGGGUGACUGUCCGCUUCACGGCGGACUCGCCUCAAAAUUAUUGGCGGCCGGUACAUUGGCUUCGAGCGCAGCAGAAACGCGAACUCGGGCCCGUCGUAUUGGCUCCCAGAAGCUAUCUUCACAAUUUUGACCUCGGAUCAGGUAGGGAUACCCGCUGAACUUAAGCAUAUCAAUAAGCGGAGGAA